GGAGAGAUGCCAGAGUGGUUGAAUGGGGCGGUCUCGAAAACCGUUGUGUCUCAUUGAGAUACCCAGGGUUCGAAUCCCUGUCUCUCCG
rnacentral:tRNA from 1 species